rnacentral:rRNA from 1 species
UACGUAGGGUGCGAGCGUUAAUCGGAAUUACUGGGCGUAAAGUGUGCGCAGGCGGCCGAGCAAGUCGAGUGUGAAAGCCCCGAGCUUAACUUGGGAACUGCGCUCGAAACUACUUGGCUAGAGUGUGGCAGAGGGAGGUGGAAUUCCAGGUGUAGCGGUGAAAUGCGUAGAUAUCUGGAGGAAUACCGGUGGCGAAGGCGGCAUCCUGGACCAUUACUGACGCUGAGGCGCGAAAGCUAGGGGAGCAAACGGG